GACGUAGGCUGCAAGCGUUAUCCGGAAUUAUUGGGCGUAAAGAGUUCGUAGGUGGUCUGUUAAGUUGGAUGUCAAAGCCAUGAGCUCAACUCAUGACAGGUGUCCAAAACUGGCAGGCUAGAGACAGGUAGGGGUAAGUAGAAUUCUGUAUGUAGGGGUAAUAUCCGUAGAUAUACAGAGGAAUACCAAAAGCGAAGGCAGCUUACUGGACCUGUUCUGACACUCAAGAACGAAAGCGUGGGGAGCAAACGGG
rnacentral:rRNA from 1 species